rnacentral:rRNA from 1 species
AGUUGGUGGAGUGAUCUGUCUGGUUAAUUCCGAUAACGAACGAGAUCUUAACCUACUAAAUAGGUGCCUUCGGGUUAUCUUCUUAGAGGGACACUUGAUCGUAUAGAUCAAGGAAGUUUGAGGUAAUAACAGGU